GGGGGGAGGCCGGAUCCUGGGCUGUGUCCCCGGUGCCCUGUGCUCCCCAGCAGAGCUGUUGGAUUCGAGCUCCUGGCUGGGCAGCCCUCU
rnacentral:pre_miRNA from 1 species